rnacentral:lncRNA from 1 species
AGCUAAAUUGGUGAAGUGGGGGUGUGCUGAAUUUACAUGGAACGUGUCCGUUAGAGUAGUAAAAGUCGUUAGCAUUUUCGUUUGGGUUAGAGAGAGAAAACGAGGAUCUAAUAAGAGAGAGGGAGAUUAGGUGUGUUUUUCGUUGCAUACAUAAGCGAUUAAGCGUGUUUAUGUGAACAUUCAAGUUAGGCUUUUGAACUAGAAAAGCUCGUG